rnacentral:tRNA from 1 species
GCUGGAGAUGUAGUUCAGUGGUAGAGCACUUGCCUAGUGCAUGUACCAGAUCUUGGAUUCAAUUCCCAGCACCAGUG